UUUCUACUCCCUCUGUCCAAAAAUACUUGUCAUCAAAAUGGAUAAAAAGAAAUGUAUCUAAAACUAAAAUACGUCUAGAUACAUUUCCUUUUAUCCAUUUUGAUGACAAGUAUUUCUGGACGGAGGGAGUAUUUG
rnacentral:pre_miRNA from 1 species